UCGGUUUUCUCUCUUUCUCCUCCAUUCUUCAUCUUUGGUUCGUUAUUUUCUUACAUGGUAUCAGAGCGGGUUUGAUUUUGGGUUAAACUUGCAAGGUGUCGUUCUUCGGCGAGUGGCCUUGUGCCGCUCGUCCGGUGGUCAGAUUUUUCGUUUUUCUGUGAUUUAAAAUGUUUUGGUCUGCCGAUUUAAGGGUUGUGACCAUGGAGGUCCGGUGGUGAAGAAGAUGGCAGAUACCUCCAUGGCUGGCUAUGUGGUGGUCGCAGCAGGCGGCAUUGGGUUCAGGUAAGAGAGGAUAUGAAUGUUGUGGGUUGAGCAGCCAGGUUCGACCCUUGGAGUUCCCGAAUUCGGUGUUUGGUUGUUUUGGGCAAGUUGUUGAAGGAAAAGGAGCACUCAAUUUGGAGACAAAGAACACUAAAUCUGUUAUGCACACUCAAGAAGUCGAUGGUGGGUGUUUUGUUUAGCAGUAGGGUGGUUAAUGUUGCAGAUUAUUGUCGUUGCUGGGUUGUGUAGUGGGGGAUUGUGGUGGCGGCAUUGCUGUAGGGUUUGGAGGAUGAAGAAACAAGAAGGAAGUGGUGAUGGUGUGGUCGGCGACUGGUUCUGGCUCGGUUUAUGGACGUUGUAGGGGAAGGGUUUUGGAUGUAAUUGGAUUGGGCUGUAGCCUGUAGAUGGGUACUGGACUGCUGGAGAUGCAAUUGGGUUUGGUAUGUGGGUUUUUGGAUUUGUUAUGUUGGGCCAGUUGUUUUAAUUGGACAAAAAAUUGUUGUAGAUUUGGAUCAGGUUUUGGAUGUAAUUGGGCCAAAAUUUGUGGGCUGUAGAUUGGUGAAUGGGCCAGGUUGGCAUUGGAAUUUUAGUUUGGGUAUUGGUAUUGGUAUUGUUAUUGUUUGGGUUUUGGUUAAUAUAUAUUGGUUAGUUUGUGUUGGGCCUGUUGGGUUAGUGAUUAUUGGGCUAAUGGGUUGUUAGAUUAUGUUUUGGGUUUUAAAAAAAACAAAAAAAUAAAAAAAAAAUGAGUGCAUUGAAAAUUUGGUUUGGUGUAUGCCCAUUUUAUGGGGUUGGAAAUUUGUUUUGGUGUUGAUCCAGUGUAUCUGGAAUUUGGCAUUUGUCGAGCUUGAAUUUAAAAUUUAUGCCCACUUCGUAGGAUUGAAAAUAUCGUUUGAUGCCCGGUUCACGGGAUUUGGAAAUUUUGUUUGUUUGCCCAGUUUAUGGGAUUAGAAAUUUUGUUUGUCCAGUCUAUUUGGAGUUUGAAAUUUGGCAUAGUCAGCUAUUUGUCCAGUCUAUCUGGAGUUUGGAAUUUGGCAUAGUCAGUUCUUGGAAUUGAUAUGUCAAGUUCAUUUGGAAUUUGAAAAUUGCAUCCGUUUGAUUUAG
rnacentral:lncRNA from 1 species